rnacentral:rRNA from 1 species
UACGUAGGUGGCAAGCGUUGUCCGGAUUUACUGGGCGUAAAGGGCGUGCAGGCGGUCUGUUAAGUCUAGGGUGAAAGCUCCCGGCUCAACUGGGAGAGGUCCUUGGAUACUGGCGGACUUGAGGGAUGCAGAGGAAAGUGGAAUUCCCGGUGUAGUGGUGAUAUGCGUAGAUAUCGGGAGGAACACCAGUGGCGAAGGCGGCGAUCUGGGAAGAUACUGACGCUGAGGUGCGAAAGCGUGGGGAGCAAACAGG